AUACAACUGGUCCUGUUUGGUGCUGGUGUCUUGCAAGUCACAAUAUACAUGACAGAAGACGCGACGCGCCGUCUGUGAGCU
rnacentral:lncRNA from 1 species